AACGAACGCUGGCGGCGUGGAUUAGGCAUGCAAGUCGAACGAACACUUAGCUUUUUCGAGUGUGAGUGGCGAAAGGGUGAGUAACACGUGGGUUACCUGCCCUAGGGAUCGGGAUAACCUGCCGAAAGGCGGGCUAAUACCGGAUACGUUCCAUCGGAAACGAUGGAGGAAAGAUGGGGAUCCGUAAGGACCUAUCACCCUUGGAUGGGCCCGCGUCCUAUCAGCUUGUUGGUGAGGUAACGGCUCACCAAGGCUAAGACGGGUAGCUGGUCUGAGAGGAUGGUCAGCCACACUGGGACUGAGACACUGCCCAGACUCCUACGGGAGG
rnacentral:rRNA from 1 species